AAUAGGAAAAUAACAAAUCAGAUUUUUCUUCCUGAUUUUUAGCUUUUUUUUUCCUCAAAAAAUUCAAAUCCAAUUAAAAAUGUUAAAAAUCAGGAGGAAAAAUCUGAUUUAUCAUUUUCCUAUU
rfam:Gossypium raimondii Chr01_contig_120, whole genome shotgun sequence.